rnacentral:rRNA from 1 species
CGAAUGAAAAUAAUUAUUUAUUGUUUUCAUGGUGAACGGGUGAGUAAUACAUAAGAAUCAGCUUUUAGAUAAGGCAUAAAAGAGUAAUAUCUUGGUAAUUCCUUAUAUGCGCAGUAGUGCUUAAAAAGGGUAGUCCCGUCUAAAAACGAGCUUAUGCCUGAUUAGCUAGUUGGCGAGUUAAAAGCUCACCAAGGCGAAGAUCAGUAGCUGGCCUGAGAGGGCGGCCAGCCACAUUGGGACUGAGACACGGCCCAAACUCCUACGGGAGGCAGCAGUGGGGAAUCUUCUGCAAUGGGCGCAAGCCUGACAGAGCGGCGUCGUGUGAAGGAAGAAGGCCUUAAAUAGGUUGUAAACUUCUUUUACUGAGUAAUGAAUAAUGACAACGCAGUAAAAAAGUAUCGGCUAACUCCGUGCCAGCAGCCGCGGUAAUACGGGGGAUGCAAGCGUUAUCCGGAAUAACUGGGCGUAAAGCGUCUGUAGGUGGUUUAGUGUGUUCUUAGUUAAAUUAUGAAGCCUAACUUCAUGAAAAGUAAGAAAACUAUUAGACUUGAGUACGAUAGGGGUAAGAGGAAUUCUUCGAGAAGUAGUGAAAUGCGAAGAUACGAAGGAGAAGAUCAUAAGCGAAGGCUUCUUACUGGGUCGUAACUGACACUGAGAGACGAAAGCUAGGGGAGCGAAUGGGAUUAGAUACCCCAGUAGUCCUAGCUGUAAACGAUGGAUAUUCGGUGCCGGAAAUUUUAGUAGAAUAUUUCGGUACCCUAGCUAACGCGUUAAAUAUCCCGCCUGAGGAGUACGC